rnacentral:rRNA from 1 species
AUUGAACGCUGGCGGCAUGCCUUACACAUGCAAGUCGAACGGUAACGGGCCUUCGGGUGCCGACGAGUGGCGCACGGGUGCGUAAUACAUCGGAACGUGCCCGAUCGUGGGGGAUAACGAGGCGAAAGCUUUGCUAAUACCGCAUACGAUCUACGGAUGCAAGCAGGGGACCGCAAGGCCUUGCGCGGACGGAGCGGCCGAUGGCAGAUUAGGUAGUUGGUGGGAUAAAAGCUUACCAGGCCGACGAUCUGUAGCUGGUCUGAGAGGAUGAUCAGCCACACUGGGACUGAGACACGGCCCAGACUCCUACGGGAGGCAGCAGUGGGGAAUUUUGGACAAUGGGCGCAAGCCUGAUCCAGCCAUGCCGCGUGCAGGAUGAAGGCCUUCGGGUUGUAAACUGCUUUUGUACGGAACGAAAAGCCUUCUUUUAAUACAGGAGGGUCAUGACGGUACCGUAAGAAUAAGCACCGGCUAACUACGUG